rfam:Gavia stellata contig76540, whole genome shotgun sequence.
AGGACAAAAGACUUAGUCCUAACCUUACAGUUAAUUCUUGCUAGACAUAUACAUGCAAGUAUCCGCGCACCAGUGUAAAUGCCCUCAAUCUCUUGCUUGCAAGACAAAGGAGCGGGCAUCAGGCACACCCAUGAUUAAAUCGUAGCCCAAGACGCCUUGCUUAGCCACACCCCCACGGGUAUUCAGCAGUAAUUAACAUUAAGCAAUAAGUGUAAACUUGACUUAGUUAUAGCAGCCCUUAGGGUCGGUAAAUCUUGUGCCAGCCACCGCGGUCACACAAGAGACCCAAAUUAACUGUAAUACGGCGUAAAGAGUGGCAUCAUGUUAUCCCACCAACUAAGAUCAAAGUGCAACUGAGCUGUCACAAGCCCAAGAUGCAUUAAAAACCACCCUCAAGACGGUCUUAGCACUCACGAUCGAUUGAAUCCCACGAAAGCUGGGGCACAAACUGGGAUUAGAUACCCCACUAUGCCCAGCCCUAAAUCUUGAUGCUUACCCUACUGAAGCAUCCGCCUGAGAACUACGAGCACAAACGCUUAAAACUCUAAGGACUUGGCGGUGCCCCAAACCCACCUAGAGGAGCCUGUUCUAUAAUCGAUAACCCACGAU